ensembl:lncRNA novel transcript
UAUGGGCACAAAAAGGUUGCAUGUAGAGGUGACUCAGACCUCCAUGGCACCUACCUCCAUGCAUUGCCACCUUUCAACCCACAACUGAGGCCCUAUUGGUGUUUCUUAUUAACAGAAUGCUGCCAUCUCCAUGAAUAAUGCCCAUGUUAGCCAGCUGGAAAAUAAGAUACCAUGAAGAGGAGAAGCAAGGUGCCCCUGUUGACAGACCCAGGAGCAGAAGCUCACCCCCAGAUGCACAGCUGUCUAGUCAAAAAGCAGGUGAUGAUACAUGUCUGAAGGAGCUCAGCUGAGACCAGAAGAAUGGCCCCACUCAGCUCGGCCUAAAUGGCCAACCAUUUCAAUUAUAAACUAAUAAGUUUUGGAUGAUUUGUUAUGCCUCAAUAGCUAACUAAUACAUGCACCCAGUACAGAUAAGUUGCCAGGAUUCAGUGACAGGUUGACUAAGAGUUGGCUUCUAACAGUGGACACCCU